UACGUAGGGGGCAAGCGUUGUCCGGAAUUAUUGGGCGUAAAGAGCGUGUAGGCGGUCCGGUAAGUCAGCUGUGAAAGUCAAGGGCUCAACCCUUGAAAGCCGGUUGAUACUGUCGGGCUAGAGUCCGGAAGAGGCGAGUGGAAUUCCCGGUGUAGCGGUGAAAUGCGCAGAUAUCGGGAGGAACACCAAUGGCGAAGGCAGCUCGCUGGGACCUGACUGACGCUCAUGUACGAAAGCGUGGGGAGCAAACAGG
rnacentral:rRNA from 1 species